AGCGUUAUCCGGAAUCAUUGGGCGUAAAGCGCCUGUAGGUUGUUUAAUAAGUCCGUUGUUAAAGACUAGGGCUUAACCCUAGGAAAGCGAUGGAAACUGAUAGACUUGAGUAUGGCAGGGGUAGAGGGAAUUUCUAGUGUAGCGGUGAAAUGCGUAGAUAUUAGAAAGAGCACCGGUGGCGAAAGCGCUCUACUGGACCAUUACUGACACUCAGAGGCGAAAGCUAGGGUAGCAAAAGGGAUUAGAUACCCCUGUAGUCCUAGCCGUAAACGAUGGAUACUACAUGUUGUAUUUAUUUUACAGUAUGGUAGCUAACGCGUUAAGUAUCCCGCCUGGGGAGUACGCUCGCAAGGGUGAAACUCAAAGGAAUUGACGGGGGCCCGCACAAGCGGUGGAGCAUGUGGUUUAAUUCGAUGCAACGCGAAGAACCUUACCAGGGCUUGACAUACUGCGAAUCUCUUUGAAAGAAGAGAGUGCCUUCGGGAAUGCAGAUACAGGUGGUGCAUGGCUGUCGUCAGCUCGUGUCGUGAGAUGUUGGGUUAAGUCCCGCAACGAGCGCAACCCUUGUUUUUAGUUACCAAUUCGUUGGGUUUUCUAGAAAGACUGCCGGUGACAAACCGGAGGAAGGUGAGGAUGACGUCAAGUCAGCAUGCCCCUUAUGUCCUGGGCUACACACGUGCUACAAUGGUGAGGACAAAGAGUCGCAAGUUUGUAAAAACAAGCUAAUCUCGUAAACCUAACCUAAGUUC
rnacentral:rRNA from 1 species